UACAGAGGUCCCGAGCGUUGUUCGGAUUCACUGGGGCGUAAAGGGUGCGUAGGCGGUCGGGUAAGUCUGGAUGUGAAAUCUCACAGACUUAACUGUGAAACUGCAUUGGAUACUAUCGGCUUGAGGGUCUGGAGGGGGGACUGGAAUUCUCGGUGUAGCAGUGAAAUGCGUAGAUAAUCGAGAGGAACACCAGUGGCGAAGGCGAGUCCCUGGACAGGUCCUGACGCUGAGGCACGAAAGCGUGGGGAGCAAACAGG
rnacentral:rRNA from 1 species